UACGUAGGGUGCGAGCGUUAAUCGGAAUACUGGGCGUAAAGCGUGCGCAGGCGGUUUUGUAAGCCAGGUGUGAAAUCCCCGGGCUCAACCUGGGAAUGGCAUUUGGGACUGCAAGGCUGGAGUGCGGCAGAGGAGACUGGAAUUCCUGGUGUAGCAGUGAAAUGCGUAGAUAUCAGGAGGAACACCGAUGGCGAAGGCAGGUCUCUGGGCUGACACUGACGCUCAUGCACGAAAGCGUGGG
rnacentral:rRNA from 1 species